rnacentral:rRNA from 1 species
UACAGAGGGUGCAAGCGUUGUUCGGAAUUACUGGGCGUAAAGGGCGCGUAGGCGGCCUCGUAAGUCCUGUGUGAAAUCCCCCGGCUUAACCUGGGAACUGCGUCUGAUACUGGGAGGCUUGAGUAUGGGAGAGGGAUGUAGAAUUCCAGGUGUAGCGGUGAAAUGCGUAGAUAUCUGGAGGAAUACCGGUGGCGAAGGCGGCAUCCUGGACCAUUACUGACGCUGAGGCGCGAAAGCUAGGGGAGCAAACGGG